rnacentral:rRNA from 1 species
UACGUAGGGGGCAAGCGUUGUCCGGAAUCAUUGGGCGUAAAGAGCGUGUAGGCGGCUCGGUAAGUCCGCUGUGAAAGUCCAGGGCUCAACCCUGGAAUGCCGGUGGAAACUGUCGAGCUAGAGUCCGGAAGAGGCGAGUGGAAUUCCUGGUGUAGCGGUGAAAUGCGCAGAUAUCAGGAGGAACACCAAUGGCGAAGGCAGCUCGCUGGGACGGUACUGACGCUGAGACGCGAAAGCCAGGGGAGCAAACGGG